GAUAGAAGCUGCAAAAGCAACCGUUGCCCAGAGUUGGAAAGGGCACAGAAAAUGGGAAAUAAAAAUUGAUACAAAUAUGUAGCAGACUAUAUGGUGCAGGAUUAUAUUAUUGAAAGAAAAACAAAAUAUACAAAUGAAUAUUCCAAAGAGAACUGGGACUAAAAAGCUGAUAGCCAGAGUAAAAGGGAAAGGAAAAUACAAGGAACUGUAUCAGACCAUCAUACAGAUUCAGAUACAGAUAUAGAUAAAGAUAUGUAUCAAAAUAGUAGUAAUAGCCAUUUCAAUAUUUUUAAAGUAUUGUAAGUCCACAAAUUUUUGUGAUUCUUUAUAAAUUGCAUGAAGGGUUUCCAAUCUUACUGAAAUUUUGUGUGUUUGCUUGUUGUAAAGCCAAAGUUAAUUUGCCAAUUCUGGUCAUCUCAUAAACUUUUGUAAUUCAAUCUUCUGAUGUCGGUGUGUUUUACCAUUUCCAUAAUUUUGCAUAUUCUUGUUGCUGUCGUCACGUAAACGAAAAUUAUUUCCUCUUGUUUUAAUAUUUGUUAUUCAAAUAGUCCCAAUGAGAAAAAUUCUGGUUUCAGUGGGAUUUUAUAAGAUAGUUUCCAUAUCUCUAGGUAUUUGUAUCCAGAAUUCCUUUGCCUUUGAACAGCCUCUCUCUCAAGGCAAUUCCUUCUACCUUCCUCUGACCUUGUUCUCCUUUCUCCUUUGCAGAACCUCAGGAAAUUCUGCGAGAAUUGUUUCCCUUGCUGUCAGAAGAGGAGGUUGAUUAAAGUGUUUCCUAUAAGUCCUCCAGUUGAAGCUCAGGAGUCCUCUUCCUCCAAGGUCACCACACUCGACACUUGGGUACGGAAGGAAAGGCAGGAGCAUUGUACUUCUGCAAAGUACAAUGUCCUCCAGUUGAAGUUCAGGAGACCUUUUCCUGCAAGGUCACCACACUCGAACCAUGGCGGUUAUAGAUGGUAUCAGGCCCGCAGCAGAGCCAGGAUGCAAGGAGGAAUGGCCCCAUUCAAGUAGAAUCGUAUGAAUCCUGGUUAAGCAUCAAAAUGCAGAUGUACUGUCUUUGUGCAAAGGGAAAGAGGAGGUCAAGCUUUCAGAGGAAGUUUCUUAAUAGUCACUUUGGCCAGGGAAGAAAAUGAGGACAGUUUGGCCCCAUGUAAGCUGCCCUGGGUUUCCUUUGGGGAGAUAGAGCGGUUAUAGAUGGUAUCAGGCCCGCAGCAGGGCCAGGAUGCAAGGAGGAAUGGCCCCAUUCAAGUAGAAUCGUAUGAAUCCUGGAUAAGCAGCAAAAUGCAGAUGUACUGUCUUUGUGCAAAGGGAAAGAGGAGGUCAAGCUUUCAGAGGAAGUUUCUUAAUAGUCACUUUGGCCAGGGAAGAAAAUGAGGACAAUUUGGCCCCAUCAGUUAUAGAUGAUAUCGGGUCCGCAGCAGGCCAGGAUGCAAGGAGGAAUGGCCCCAUUCAAGUAGAAUCGUAUGAAUCCUGGAUAAGCAGCAAAAUGCAGAUGUACUGUCUUUGUGCAAAGGGAAAGAGGAGGUCAAGCUUUCAGAGGAAGUUUCUUAAUAGUCACUUUGGCCAGGGAAGGAAAUGAGGACAGUUCGAAGGCACUUUGGAGCUAGCUGUCCCAGGAAUUGAGGUAACUUCUUCUCACUUUUUGGGUGGGGGUUGGGCCUUUUUUUGGGCUGGGGGAGUCUUUGAGUGUUAUGCUCUUACAUAUGAUUUUUUUAAAUUUCUCUUAGUGAACCAUACUAUUGGAGAUAGAGAAUUUGGAGGAGAUCUAAUGUGAGUUGGGACUGGAAAACAGAGGGAGGGAUGUGCUUGUUGUGGGGAGCAAGGAGCCUGGCAGAGGCCCCCAAGUCCUGACCAAGAGGGCCAGAAGGGCCCUGGAAGAUGGCAGAUUCCCUAGUAAGGCAGAAGGACAUCAGACAUAGAACCCCAUAUACUGCAUUGGGAAAGAAAAAGCCAAGCCCUGCUUCCCGGAGCCCUUUCCAGAGGAAGUAGGGAUAAGACAAGAAAGAGGAGCUUGGCAGCAUGGAGGGGAAAAGGAGUUGGAGCAAGGAAGAUGACCAGAGAAACACCAUUGUAUGUGGAUUCCUGGAGGAGGUGCCAAGAGGGUCCAGGGAGAGGCCAAUCCCUCAGGAAACGAAGGCAGAGCCCCAGCAUCCCUAAGGGAAGCAGCGAUGAAACCAUGAUAUGGCCCCCCUGAGGAAGGGAGGAAGAGGCUAGGAGGGAGAGGGAUGAAAAGGGGGGGGGGGGGUUGCUACAGGUACAGGCAGGCUGUUCUUGGCCACAGGAACUGGGACCUCCACUUAGGAGAGAAAGACACACCCAGUCUUCUGAUUUAGCUCCUCAAAGGCUUUCUGGCUGGAGAGUGCCUCUGUUUGCAUAUUUGUGUAUUUUAAAUUGUAUGCUGAUACUUUUAUGUUAAGCCACUUUGAGUCUCUUUCAGGAGAGAUAAUGUGGUUUAUUCAUAACAAUAAUAAUGAUAAUAAAUAAAUAAAUAAAUAAAUAACAACAACUCUCCCUCUUCAGAGCCACUCACACAUCCUCUUCACGACCUCUGCCUGGGACAGCUGGUUUCAUUGUGUGUCCAUACUUGCCGGUGUUCCUCCUACUCUCCUAGUCAAGGUGCCCUGUGAACAAAAGGACUUUGCUUGAAUGAGGCCCUCACUCCUUCCAUCCUGACUUGGCUGUGGGGCUGAUACCAUCCAGAAGCCCUGUGAAAGAAACUGUACAUAUUGUUGCCAAUCAAUGACUAUUUGAAUCUAAUGUUCAUAAUUAUAUUGUUAAUUUUGUUAUUGGUUGUGCUGUAUUUCGUGUUUUAUAUUUAUUGAUGGGUUAUUAAUUUUUUAUCCAUUUUUAUAUAUUUUAUUGUACUGCACUUACUGUAUUUUAUGUUGUAAGCCCCCCUCCGUGUCCCCUGGGGAGAGGGGGCAGUAUAUAAACAUUAUUAUUGUGAUUAUUAUGCUAUCUAUCAAUCUUCUAUGAUAUUAUUUCUUUUAAAACAUAAAUAAAAGGUUUUCAUGUUGCUUUCCUG